rnacentral:ncRNA from 2 species
GAAAUAAGCUGGGGGAGCCCCGCAGGAUGGGGCUGAGAGCCGUCUGUCAGAGAGGGCGACCCUUGGAACCUGAUCCGGGUAGUUCCGGCGUAGGGAAGGCUGUCAUGCAUGCAG